UACGGAGGGUGCAAACGUUGCUCGGAAUUAUUGGGCGUAAAGCGCACGUAGGCGGUCCAGCAAGUCGGGUGUGAAAGCCCUCGGCUUAACCGAGGAAGUGCAUUCGAAACUACGGGACUUGAAUACUGAAGAGGAUCGCGGAAUUCCCGGUGUAGAGGUGAAAUUCGUAGAUAUCGGGAGGAACACCAGUGGCGAAGGCGGCGAUCUGGGCAGAUAUUGACGCUGAUGUGCGAAAGCGUGGGGAGCAAACAGG
rnacentral:rRNA from 1 species